rnacentral:rRNA from 1 species
AUUGAACGCUAGCGGCAGGCCUAACACAUGCAAGUCGAGCGGAUGAAGGGAGCUUGCUCCUGGAUUCAGCGGCGGACGGGUGAGUAAUGCCUAGGAAUCUGCCUGGUAGUGGGGGAUAACGUCCGGAAACGGGCGCUAAUACCGCAUACGUCCUGAGGGAGAAAGUGGGGGAUCUUCGGACCUCACGCUAUCAGAUGAGCCUAGGUCGGAUUAGCUAGUUGGUGUGGUAAAGGCCUACCAAGGCGACGAUCCGUAACUGGUCUGAGAGGAUGAUCAGUCACACUGGAACUGAGACACGGUCCAGACUCCUACGGGAGGCAGCCGUGGGGAAUAUUGGACCAUGGGCGAAAGCCUGAUCCAGCCAUGCCGCGUGUGUGAAGAAGGUCUUCGGAUUGUAAAGCACUUUAAGUUGGGAGGAAGGGCAGUAAGUUAAUACCUUGCUGUUUUGACGUUACCAACAGAAUAAGCACCGGCUAACUUCGUG